rnacentral:rRNA from 1 species
AGCGAACGCUGGCGGCAGGCCUAACACAUGCAAGUCGAACGAACUCUUCGGAGUUAGUGGCGGACGGGUGAGUAACACGUGGGAACGUGCCUUUUGGUUCGGAAUAACUCAGGGAAACUUGUGCUAAUACCGAAUGUGCCCUUCGGGGGAAAGAUUUAUCGCCAUUAGAGCGGCCCGCGUCUGAUUAGCUAGUUGGUGAGGUAACGGCUCACCAAGGCGACGAUCAGUAGCUGGUCUGAGAGGAUGACCAGCCACACUGGGACUGAGACACGGCCCAGACUCCUACGGGAAGCAGCAGUGGGGAAUCUUGCGCAAUGGGCGAAAGCCUGACGCAGCCAUGCCGCGUGAAUGAUGAAGGUCUUAGGAUUGUAAAAUUCUUUCACCGAGGACGAUAAUGACGGUACCCGGAGAAGAAGUCCCGGCUAACUUCGUG